GACGCUGGAGCCAGACGGUACGGCGGCGGUUUGCAGAACCGCAUCAAGUGGGUUCGACUCCCACCGGCGUCU
rnacentral:tRNA from 2 species